rnacentral:rRNA from 1 species
AAAGUCUAAAUCGCCCCCUGAUAUUUGAAUGGCCGCAGAAUUUUAACUGUGCAAAGGUAGCAUAAUCAUUAGUUUUUUAAUUGAAGGCUGGAAUGAAUGAUUAGACGAGAUAUAAACUGUUUCAUAAAAAAUUAUAGAAUUUUAUUUUUUAGUAAAAAAGCUAAAAUAAAUUUAAAAGACGAGAAGACCCUAUAGAUCUUUAUAUUUAUAUAGUUUAUAAUAGAUUUGGUUUUAUUAUUUUAUAAAUUAUAGAAUAUUUUAUUGGGGUGAUAGUGAAAUUUAAUAAACUUUCAUAAAAUUACUUAACAUUAAUAAAUGAAUAAUUGAUCCUUUUUGUUGAUUAAUAAUUUAAGUUACCUUAGGGAUAACAGCGUUAUUAUUUUGGAGAGUUCUAAUCGAUAAAAUAGUUUGCGACCUCGAUGUUGGAUUAAGAUUAAUUCUAGGAGCAGAAGCUUAGAAUAUUGAGUCUGUUCGACUCUUAAUUUCUUACA